GAUGAAGAACGUAGCAAAAUGCGAUAAGUAAUGUGAAUUGCAGAAUUCAGUGAAUCAUCGAAUCUUUGAACGCACCUUGCGCUCCUUGGCAUUCCGAGGAGCAUGCCUGUUUGAGUGUCAUUAAAUUCUCAAGACCUGUCUGCUUUUUUGAUAGGUAUUGGAUUUUGGGGGUUGCAGGCUGUUUCAAAUAAAUAGCCUUGCUCUCCUUGAAUGUAUUAGUGGAGAAAAGCCAUUGAACUCCAUUGGUGUGAUAAAACCUUUCAAUGCCAGGAGCAAUAUCACUACUUCUCUCUGCUGUCUAACUGUGACUGUCUGUAUUAAUUAGUAUGGAUGGGGACAACUUGACCAACUUGACCUCAAAUCAGGUAGGACUACCCGCUGAACUUAAGCAUAUCAAUAAGCGGAGGA
rnacentral:misc_RNA from 1 species